rnacentral:rRNA from 1 species
GACGAACGCUGGCGGCGUGCCUAAUACAUGCAAGUAGAACGCUGAAGGAGGAGCUUGCUUCUCUGGAUGAGUUGCGAACGGGUGAGUAACGCGUAGGUAACCUGCCUGGUAGCGGGGGAUAACUAUUGGAAACGAUAGCUAAUACCGCAUAAGAGUAGAUGUUGCAUGACAUUUGCUUAAAAGGUGCAAUUGCAUCACUACCAGAUGGACCUGCGUUGUAUUAGCUAGUUGGUGGGGUAACGGCUUUCCAAGGCGACGAUACAUAGCCGACCUGAGAGGGUGAUCGGCCACACUGGGACUGAGACACGGCCCAGACUCCUACGGGAGGCAGCAGUAGGGAAUCUUCGGCAAUGGACGGAAGUCUGACCGAGCAACGCCGCGUGAGUGAAGAAGGUUUUCGGAUCGUAAAGCUCUGUUGUAAGAGAAGAACGAGUGUGAGAGUGGAAAGUUCACACUGUGACGGUAUCUUACCAGAAAGGGACGGCUAACUACGUG